ACCUGGUUGACUCAGUCAGUAGAGCACGAGACUCUUGAUCUCGGGCUUGUAAGUUCGAGCCCCACAAUGGGUG
rnacentral:tRNA from 1 species